rnacentral:rRNA from 1 species
AUGAUCAAAAGGAGGAAGAGGAGAUCCAUGGUUGGGGAUACAUCCAACGACCUAGGCAUCAUCCUGACGUCGUACUCGAAGCCCGCAUCCACUGCCUCCUCAAUCUAUGUUAGUCUGCAGCAGCAAGGAGAUAGAAAGGAGGGUCAGCAUGAAUGGAACGUAUCCCCUUCCAGAGGACUCGCCCUAACUAGCCUGCACGUGCUCUGUAUGAUAUGUGGUGGAUGGGGAAGCGGAGGCGACGACUGGUGGUUGUUCUGUUUAUACCUGGCAUGGUUCAGAGGCUAUGGAGAAGGCGUUUUUUCACUCGUAUUUGGUGAUAGGGUAGCGUACAUGAACAGAAAAAUUGUAGAAGGCGAGGAGGACAAUAUGAGCGAGCAAACAUUAUGUGGGUAUUGA